rnacentral:rRNA from 1 species
AGGUCACUGCUAUCGGUGUUCGAUUAAGCCAUGCGAGUCGUGAGGGGUAAAGCCCUCGGCGGAGUGCUCAGUAACACGUGGACAACCUACCCAAGAGUCAGGGAUAACCCCGGGAAACUGGGGAUAAUACCUGAUAGGCCAUGACAUCUGGAAUCGAGUUGUGGUUUAAACGUAAGGCUCUUGGAUGGGUCUGCGGCGGAUUAGGUUGUUGCCGGUGUAACGUACCAGCAAGCCUGUAAUCCGUACGGGUUGUGGGAGCAAGAGCCCGGAGAUGGAUUCUGAGACACGAAUCCAGGCCCUACGGGGCGCAGCAGGCGCGAAAACUCUACAAUGCAGGCAACUGCGAUAGGGGAACAUCGAGUGGCAUCCACCAUGGAUGUCUGUCCAAUCGUCUAAAAAACGAUUGUCAGCAAGGGCCGGGCAAGACCGGUGCCAGCCGCCGCGGUAAUACCGGCGGCUCGAGUGGUGGCCGAUAUUAUUGAGUCUAAAGGGUCCGUAGCCGGCUUUGCAAGUCCUAUGGGAAAUCCAGCGGCUUAACCGUUGGGCUUUCAUGGGAUACUACAUUGCUUGGGACUGGGAGAGGUAGGAGGUACUCAGGGGGGUAGGGGUGAAAUCCUGUAAUCCUUUGGGGACCACCGGUGGCGAAGGCGUCCUACCAGAACAGGUCCGACGGUAAGGGACGAAAGCUAGGGGCACGAACCGGAUUAGAUACCCGGGUAGUCCUAGCCGUAAACGAUGCUCGCUAGGUGUCACGGCAGUCGUGAAUUGUCGUGGUGCCGUAGGGAAGCCGUGAAGCGAGCCACUUGGGAAGUACGACCGCAAGGUUGAAACUUAA